UUCAAAAUGGCCGCCAUUGGGACGAGCACAUUUUAUGGAAGAAAGAAAGUGGGCCGCACUAUGUUCAAGUUCAAGUCUCAUGGGCCGCACAUCAUGUACAUAUGACGUCACCAAUGCAAGCUAACCAGAUAUUAAGAUACUGACAAGUACAUCAGUGAAUCCUUGCCACCUGGGAAUGCUGUCGAGCGGCACAGAGAGAAGAUGUGGCUUUUCAGUGUUCCUUGCCAGGCAUUAGUCACAGUGGAGGAAGUAUAACAAGAGGAUCUGGCGAGAGAGGUGUGAAAAUUGGAGGAGACGAUCAGGCUACUUACACCUGAAGCAAGACAAGGAGUGAACAGUGAACAGCAUAUUCUGGGCCACCUCAUUCAAAGUGCACACUUACCUAUGUAUAUUUUUGCAUACAUCUCCUCCCCAAGAUGUGUAACACAUUUCCCAAAAAGAGUUUAUGCCCAAGACCCAUCCUUUCUUCAGUGGAUAAUCUCAUCUGGAUACUGGAGACUUGUACCUAAGAACUGCUGCUGAAAUCAUGAAGACCAUGGGUUUCUCAAGGUUUCUUUCUCAUGUUGCCUCAUGUUGGUGUAAGCACAACGAAAGGGUAGAUAUUACAAAGCUCUGUAUUGGAAUUUUGGGGGGUUUCUGCCAACCCCAAUUUCUCUGACACAAAUAUGCACUGUGUUCGUGGGCAGGAGUGUCCACUUCAGAUUCGAUGACAGUAUACACUGGGUAUACUGUAUUUGUCCCACAUUAGAGUAUGCCUGCCAACAUGGCAUGGAAAUCUGACACAAGCUCUGUCAAAACAGAUUGCACAUGUUCAGAAACAAGCCUGCUGAAUCAUCACUGGCAGUGCAUUCUCUGCUCAUCAAGAUGCACUGAAAACCCACUCACUGGCCACUAUCCUAGAGGGAACGAGCUGCGCAGGGACUAUCAGCCUUCUCAAUUUCCCUUUCAGGGAAAGGCUGCCACCCCUUCAAGGCCCAGACAUCAUUCUAGCCAACCAGAAAGUGCAAACAAUUACAGAAAAGAGAUUCCGAAAAAUCACCUAUCCCAUCCAUAAUAAGAAUUUUAAAUGCAGUUAUACACUAUUUUUCUUUUAUCUCUUUUUUUUUUACUGCAUAUACUUUUUAAGAUUUAUCUUAUACUUAUUUUUAUGCUUUUAUUUUUAUCUCUUUUUGAUUAUUUUGAAUUCUUAAAUGGGUGGUAAAUGCUCACAUAAUUCAGUUUUGCUAAACUGCAAUGUGAAUGUGGAAUAAAGUCAAAGUCCGGCAUUAUUUGCAAAUAAAAAACACAAGUUCCACAAAAGUUAAAGUAAAUCCACAAAUAAAUAGUAAGUUAUUCACAAAUGUCUCAUGAGCUUCAUAUCCAAUGAUCCGCAUGAAAGUUAAAGCUGCCCACUUUGUUUGGUCCCACAAGAUCCCAGUUGCAACACUAGCACACCUCCAUCAGGAUUCAAACUUACAAUAUCUUAAAGACAGGGCAAAUGAUUUUAUUCACACCACUCUGGAGCCUUUGUUUUUUAUUA